GAGGCAGAGAGACAGGGGGAGGCAGAGAGACAGAGGGAGGCAGAGAGCCAGAGACAAAUGGAGGAGAUCAACAGACUCAAACAACUGGUGGAUCUGCUGAUAACGCAACUACAACUGGCCCAGCAAGAGAUAGCGAUAUUGAGGCUAUGGCAGAAAGUCAUGGAGGAUCAGCGACCAAGACUGGCCUGGAACAACAAACCUAUUGAGACGGAAAGACAGAGUGAAAGACAGAGGGAAAGGGAGAGAAAAGCAGAAUUGGAGAGACAAGAAAUGAAGGAGAAAGUGAAACAGGCAGAGGAAACAAUAAAAGCGUUAGAACGAGAGAUUGAGAGAUUGAAAGAGAUUGAACAGGAAAUAGCAUUUGAAAGAAAAAGAGACAUGCGUAUUGCAGAGAAUGAGGAAGUCAAACAGGUUAACAAAAAGGUAAAAGAGUU